GGGCUUUGUUUGCGCAGGAUAGGUGGGAGGCGUUGAAGAUUUUCUUGCGGGGAGAUUGGAGCCGUUGGUGAGAUACCACUCUAACAAUGCUAGGAUUCUAACCCUAUACCGUUAUCCGGUUAGGGGACAGUUUCAGGUGGUCAGUUUGACUGGGGCGGUCGCCUCCCAAAAGGUAACGGAGGCGUGCAAAGGUUUCCUCAGGCUGGUCGGAAAUCAGUCGUAGAGUGUAAAGGCAUAAGGAAGCUUGAUUGUGAGACCUACAAGUCGAACAAAGACGAAAGUCGGCCUUAGUGAUCCGACGGUUCCGAGUGGAAGGGCCGUCGCUCAACGGAUAAAAGUUACUCUAGGGAUAACAGGCUGA
rnacentral:rRNA from 1 species